GCACUUGCCUUUGAACCCGUGGAACGCCUGUGCUGUGGCAUCCCGGGCCAAGCAGCAGUGCCAGAGCAGCCCCGCUUGUUUAUAACUGGUUCCGCUUGGCCCCCAUUUGAGCGGUUCUUUUAAGGACAAGCGACACGC
ensembl:snoRNA SNORA50C small nucleolar RNA, H/ACA box 50C